rnacentral:ncRNA from 1 species
ACUGAAUAGAAAACAGUCGGUGCGUUUCGUCAUUUUGCUGAUAAGCGGAGGGCAGAAACGUUAAAAGGGAAGCGGGUGCACAAUCCCGCACGAUCUCGUCACUGUGAUAAGGGAGUCCCUCGUCCGGGUGCUUUGGGCACCGGUCACUGGAGCAUCUGCUCCGGGAAGGCGGCGGAGGGCGGUGAUCUUUCAGUCAGGAAACCUGCCGGUUGUUGGUACGGGAG